GACAGAGGGUGCAAACGUUGUUCGGAAUUACUGGGCAUAAAGCGCACGUAGGUGGUCCGCUAAGUCGCGUGUGAAAUCCCUCGGCUCAACCGAGGAAUUGCGGGCGAUACUGGCGGGCUAGAGAUCGGGAGGGGUGAGUGGAACUCCAGGUGGAGCGGUGAAAUGCGUAGAUAUCUGGAGGAACACCGGUGGCGAAAGCGACUCACUGGCCCGACACUGACACUGAGGUGCGAAAGCUAGGGUAGCAAAC
rnacentral:rRNA from 1 species